ACACGAUCGUCGGAUGUGUAUCCGGCCUGACGAGUCCGAAAGGACGAAAUCGGAA
rnacentral:hammerhead_ribozyme from 1 species